rnacentral:rRNA from 1 species
AACGAACGCUGGCGGCAGGCCUAACACAUGCAAGUCGAACGCCCUAGCAAUAGGGAGUGGCAGACGGGUGAGUAACGCGUGGGAACGUGCCCUUCGGUUCGGAAUAACUCAGGGAAACUUGAGCUAAUACCGGAUACGUGCGAGAGCAGAAAGAUUUAUCGCCGAAGGAUCGGCCCGCGUCCGAUUAGCUAGUUGGUGAGGUAAUGGCUCACCAAGGCGACGAUCGGUAGCUGGGCUGAGAGGAUGAUCAGCCACACUGGGACUGAGACACGGCCCAGACUCCUACGGGAGGCAGCAGUGGGGAAUAUUGGACAAUGGGCGCAAGCCUGAUCCAGCCAUGCCGCGUGAGUGAUGAGGGCCUUAGGGUUGUAAAGCUCUUUCGCCAGGGACGAUAAUGACGGUACCUGGAUAAGAAGCCCCGGCUAACUUCGUGCCAGCCGCCGCCGUAA